UGUAACUGCCAUAGGGAUAAGAAGCCUGGAAACCUCUCCGAUGCGCUGGUUAAGAAGUGACUGCUGUCAUCAAUCUCUUGAGCACAGUCUGUGACCUGUGACUUCUUCAAUGUGGCACUAUGGCAGGCAUGACACAAUGCAGCAUGACAAUCACCUGCACUGGGUCUUGCUUUCUUGAUCCACUUGUCACCAUGGAAACAAAUGGGAUGUGAGGAAGCUGAAGCUAGUCUGUGAAAGAAUUAGCAGCCACAUGGAGGACAGAGGAGCUCUAGCUCCUAGCCAGAUGUUCAGCACACCUGCUAAGGUGACCACCUGGAGCCACCUUCCUGGUAACCUGGCAACUGCUUACAGACCUCUAGGUGUAAGUUGUGGAAAAGUUCUGUUUCUUGUUUUCAGCGCUUGUGCCUCAGCCUGAGCAAGGUCUUCAGGAAGAACCACAGUAGUGCCGUCUUGAAGACAGGCGCAGGGCAGUCUUCAUGUCCUCUCUCUCCUUCUUAAGCAAUGCCACCAGAAUUCACCGUCACAUUGUCAACUGUCAUAAUUACUGUUUCACAGCAAAAGGGUCAUAUCACUGCUGCACGGCUAGCAAAGCUCCUUGGCUGUCUAUAGGAGUGUGCUGGCUUACCUGAGA